rnacentral:rRNA from 1 species
CAGAGGGGGCAAGCGUUAUUCGGAAUUAUUGGGCGUAAAGGGCGCGUAGGCGGCUUUGCAAGUGACGGGUGAAAGCCCUCGGCUUAACCGAGGAACUGCCUGUCAGACUGUGAGGCUUGAGACCGGGAGAGGUGAGUGGAAUUCCCAGUGUAGCGGUGAAAUGCGUAGAUAUUGGGAGGAACACCAGUGGCGAGGGCGGCUCACUGGACCGGAACUGACGCUGAGGCGCGAAAGCGUGGGGAGCAAACAGGAUUAGAUACCCUGGUAGUCCACGCCGUAAACGAUGAGUGCUUGGUGUAGCGGGUAUCGACCCCUGCUGUGCCGAAGUCAACACAUUAAGCACUCCGCCUGGGGAGUACGGUCGCAAGACUG